CUGGGGAAUCCAAGACAGUUCACGAGUUACCAACCUUGUUUGUCAGGUGUUAUUUUGCUGUCUGCAGAUGAAGAGAUUGAACUCCUCCGUAGCUCUGAUCCAUUUAGAUAUGUCUCUGUUUUUGCAGCUGUCCUAGCCAGGUGUACAUGAGCUCUACCGUUCAUGCCCCCGUAACUCAUCAAGAAGCUGUUCGGUCUUCUCCAUUUCAAAACUUCGAAAGAGAACAUGGAAAUAGAUUAAUGAGUUUUCCCAGGAUCACAUGGAGCCAAGAUGUCCACCA
rnacentral:lncRNA from 1 species